rnacentral:tRNA from 1 species
AGGAAGGUGUUGGCUGGUGCUGCACGUCGACGUUGUGCUACACGGGCUCAUAAUCCGUUGGUGCCCGGUUCGACUCCGGGGAGGCCUACCA